GCAAUCUUAGUUUAAUUAAAAAUAGCAGUUUGUCUCACUGCUGAUGGCUUUUGCUAGGUUGCU
rnacentral:tRNA from 1 species